AACCCAGGGGAUUCCUCCCAUGCCCAGUGCGAAUGAUCCUAUAUAUAUCUGAUUACAGAAUUCAAAACAUCAACAUAGAAUCAAUAUUCUCUUAUAAUAUCUAAUCAGAUGAACUUUAAAAUGAAGCAACCUAAGGUUUCAAUGCUAGAAUAUUAAUAGGCAGAUCAGGAAUGAAUAGAUCGUCAUUCAUAUAAAUGAAUAGAUCGUCAUUCAUAUAAAUGAAAUUAUUAAAUAUGAGCUGGUUUUCCUUUGCAGAUAAAUCAAGUGGACAUCUGAAUUCAAAGUUAAUCUAGCAUUACCAGUAC
rnacentral:misc_RNA from 1 species